ACACACACACUAUACAAACACACACACUGCAUUAUAUACACACACACUAUACAAACACACUGAAUUAUAUACACACACUAUACAAACACACACUGCAUUAUAUAAACACACUACACAAACACAGACUGCAUUAUACACACACACUAUACAAACACACACACUGCAUUAUAUACACACACACACUAUACAAACACACUGAAUUAUAUACACACAC